rnacentral:rRNA from 1 species
AGAGUUUGAUCAUGGCUCAGAAUGAACGCUGGCGGCGUGCUUUACACAUGCAAGUCGAGCGAGGCGCCCCGCAAGGGGUAGUCGAGCGGCGAACGGGUGAGUAACGCGUGGAUUAUCUGCCCUGAGGUGGGGGAUAACCCGGGGAAACUCGGGCUAGUACCGCAUAUGACCGUGAGGUCAAAGGGGGGUCGCAAGAUCUCUCGCCAUAGGAGGAGUCCGCGUCCGAUUAGCUAGUUGGUAGGGUAAUGGCCUACCAAGGCGACGAUCGGUAGCCGGCCUGAGAGGGUGAUCGGCCACACUGGAACUGAGACACGGUCCAGACUCCUACGGGAGGCAGCAGUGGGGAAUUUGGCGCAAUGGGCUAACGCCUGACGCAGCAACGCCGCGUGGAGGAUGAAGGUCUUUGGAUUGUAAACUCCUGUCAGCAGGGAAAAAGGGACUCGACCUCAUACGUCGGGAACUUGAUUGUACCUGCAGAGGAAGCCCCGGCUAACUCUGUGCCAGCAGCCGCGGUAAUACAGAGGGGGCAAGCGUUAUUCGGAAUUAUUGGGCGUAAAGGGCGCGUAGGCGGCCUGACAAGUGGAAGGUGAAAUCCCUCGGCUUAACCGAGGAACUGCCCUCCAAACUGUUUGGCUUGAGACCAGGAGAGGUGAGUGGAAUUCCCAGUGUAGCGGUGAAAUGCGUAGAUAUUGGGAGGAACACCAGUGGCGAAGGCGGCUCACUGGACUGGGUACUGACGCUGAGGCGCGAAAGCGUGGGGAGCAAACGGGAUUAGAUACCCCGGUAGUCCACGCCGUAAACGAUGAGUGCUUGGUGUAGCGGGUAUCGACCCCUGCUGUGCCGAAGUCAACACAUUAAGCACUCCGCCU